GAUGAACGCUGGCGGCGUGCCUAAUACAUGCAAGUCGAGCGAACAGACGAGGAGCUUGCUCCUUUGACGUUAGCGGCGGACGGGUGAGUAACACGUGGAUAACCUACCUAUAAGACUGGGAGAACUUCGGGAAAACGGAGCUAAUACCGGAUAACCUGUUUAACCGCAUGGUUCAACAGUGAAAGACGGUCUUGUCGUCACUUAUAGAUGGAUCCGCGCCGCAUUAGCAAGUUGGUAAGGUAACGGCUUACAAAGGCAACGAUGCGUAGCCGACCUGAGAGGGGGACCGGCACAACUGGAACUGAGCCACGCUCCAGACUCCUACGGGAGCCACAAGUAGGGAAUCUUCGGAAAUGAGGGAAGGCCUGACGGAGCAAGGCCGCGUGAGUGAAGAAGGUCUCCGGAUCGUAAGACUCUGUUAUUAGGGAGGAACAACUGUGUAAGAAACUAUGCACGGAUUGACGGUACCUAAACAGAAAGCCACGGCUAACUACGUG
rnacentral:rRNA from 1 species